CUUGUACUCCCUCCGUCCGAAAAUACUUGUCAUUGAAAUGGAUGUAUCUAGAUGUAUUUUAGUUCUAGACACAUCCAUUUUGAUGACAAGUAAUUCCGGAUGGAGGGAGUGCUUG
rfam:Triticum urartu cultivar G1812 contig147836, whole genome shotgun sequence.